UACGAAGGGGGCUAGCGUUGUUCGGAAUUACUGGGCGUAAAGGGCGCGUAGGCGGCCUUCUAAGUCGAACGUGAAAUCCCCGGGCUCAACCCGGGAACUGCGUCCGAUACUGGGAGGCUUGAAUCCGGGAGAGGGAUGCGGAAUUCCAGGUGUAGCGGUGAAAUGCGUAGAUAUCCGGAGGAACACCGGUGGCGAGGGCGGCAUCCUGGACCGGUAUUGACGCUGAUGAGCGAAAGCCAGGGGAGCAAACGGG
rnacentral:rRNA from 1 species